AUUAAACUCUCUAUAUAUCUUCACAUUCACUUCUCACAAUUUAGAUUCAGUUCUCAAAUUCAAUUUCAAGUUACUGAGACAGACAUCCUGGUAGUUGGAGGAUGAAAGAAGAGCAAUCGAGCACAGAUCGAUAGAUAGCGUUCAUUGGUGCACAGGAUUCCUCUUGGGCCAAUCAGCACCUACUUUUUGGAGCAUAGUACGUACCCGUCAUGAAACAAGGAAGAAGUGCUUGCCUUGCUGACUGGCUUGACCACCAUGGAUUCGGCUGGGACAAAUACAGGAGACAACUCAGAAGUAGUCAAUUCAGGAAGACAGCUCCUAAAUUUGUUCACAAAUGCAAUACCUUCCCCUGGUCCUGUUGGACCCAGUGCCCAACAUCAAACUUGCCCAGAGACUCCAAGACAGGAAAGGAGUCAGGAAAGAGGGAGAGAUGGCCGACCCAGUGUCCACACAGAAAUGACAAGGUCUUUUCCUGCCCUUUUUGGAGCCAGUGGAAAGCGCUGGCGUGUUCAAGGGCCUUCCAACCACUUCACACCAGUCAAAGAGAUAGAAGUUACAUUUUAUCUCUUACCCAAGAUUGUUGAGCACACUCCCAAAGGCAGUGAAGAAGUUUUCCAUCUGCAAGCUGGUUUGGGACGCAGGUCCACGCUGAUACCAGGGAACUACACCCAUGAUGAG
ensembl:lncRNA